AAACUUGAACUUUUGGGAUUGAUACCAUAAGUUUGUCUGUUAGGUAAUUUUUCUCUUAGACACUAAACUGUUUAAUAUAGGUUUUAAACAACUACAUCUUUGAAUAGCAGUAGCUCCUCACAAUUUUUGCUUAUUUAACCGAGUAUUUGGAGCCAAGAUCCAGUUUGCCUUGCUGUAAGUUAAUGUUGAUUACUAUUUCUCUGCCUCAAGUGGGUAGUCUUGUCUUUUCCUAGCCAGUGUAUUGCUUCUUUUGAAUGACUCAUUGUAAAUAGUACUCCUUCCGUCCCAAAAUGUUUUUUUGUACUAAUCCAUUGAUCCUCUGUUUCAUUUCAGGGAUUAGGGUGCCGACACAUCGUCGCCAGCCGCAGGGUUGUGACACCUUGCUAGGUGCUCGCCGUGUCCUACAUCUCUGUAGGAACACGUCAGGCAGGAGCUCAGCCCCACAUCCUGGCUCAAGUUUUGUCCUCAUUCCUACUUGGAAUUAAUGAUAAUUGAACAUGGAAACUGAGGAACGUUAGAGCAGCACAAUCUUCAUAAAGAAAAGCAAUCUUAAUUUAGGCACGGAUAUUGAUCUACAAAUUUGAGGUAGAAAAAUAUUUGUUUUCCUAGGUACUAACUCGCAAGUGUUCUACAAAUUCAGUGAAUAAAAAAAUGUAGAUCAAACAUGAGAUCCUACUGACAGACACCACCAAUUAUAUUGAAUGAAGUGGCAUCCUUUUGUGGGCAGGUAAAAGAGCAGCCCUAUUUUUGGUAAAGCUUGCUUGCCUUUCAGUAUUUUUGGUUACAUUGUGUGCUUCCAGUUCCUCUGUUUUGCUCUGAUUUGUUGAUCUUCUGUACUGCCUCUGUAUCAAAAUACCCUCUCGAUCUCAAGAUGUGUUGAUUUGAUUGGGCUGCUGUUCGAUUCAGUGCUUCCGAGCGAGGAAGACUGCGAGGGGUUGGACGUGCAAUGGCCUAGCGGAGUUGUCUGCGCCGCGACGCCGCCGGUAUGGAGGCCCGGGCUCGGGCUUAACUCAGCAAGCUUUAGUGCUUAUUUGUUAUUAAUCGUUGGUUCUGACCAUGUCAGUAGCGUCCCCUCGUCGUCGACGGCGGCUCAGGGAAAUUGAGGAAGGAGGCGAGUCUGUCCCACGGCGUCGCUGUCGGGGAGCACUAAGGGAGCUCCCUGUCUUGGUUUGCAGCAAGUAUGUUCUGCACGCCGCCGCCAGCCACAAGCAUCACGGCGAGGAGGACAAAAGUGAGAAUGGUACCUUCGACAAAUCAAUCUCAUUCCCCCCUUCUUUGCGACGCAGAUAGAUCACACUGAUUCAACAAGUAUGUCCUAUUUGUUGUUCACAAAUUAAACAUUAAGGCAAUUAGGAUCUGGAUCUUUGAGAUGUUUAGCUUUACAUGUUCAUUAGGGAUUUGUUGUUGCUGAAAGAGAGCAAAAUAGAGGGAAUAUCCUUUUCCAAAAAAAGUUUACAUAUUGAGUUGCACGCAUGUACUUUAGAAUGUAAUCUUGGUGUUCAAACUGCAUUAUACCAUUACUAAAAAGAUUUGGAAUUUAUCUUGUAUGUGAUUGGUUUGUAGGGCUGUAGGCUGGUGAGGUCUGGUUAUAGCACAAUGCUUCAGACUAAUAUCAAAGGAAUAAAUUGAUCAAUAAGUUUCAGCCAUGGUUA